AGGUGUCUCAGCACAUUGCCGUCAUGACUGUCAGGACACAGACAGAUGUGGAUACGUGUCGCAUUUACAGGGGGACCUUGGAAAUUCUCGAGCUAAGCUCCAGAAGCCAUUCAUCUUCCCUAACGGCUUCACGGUACAGCCCGAACAAAAGCUACCACAACAACGGUGGAGUUAAGCAGCAGAGGAACGUCACGCCGCUCGCGUUUAUUAGUAUUUUACGUCGCCUAUUGGCUCCAUUUAUUGAUUUAAUUUUCUUUAAUAACAAUAUUGAAUUAUUGCAAACAAGACAAUCUGAAAAGCCAUGCAUAUUUAUCAUGAUAUGCAGGGACCACAUAAAGACAAAUUAUAUCACGGAGUGCUCGGAUUCUAGGGUUUGUUAGAACGAUUGAUGCGAAAAAGGAAUGUAUUGAGUGUUUGCAAUUUAAUUCAUGAUUUUUUCAAUGCAUACUCAUUAGGACUAUGCGCUCUUUACAACUCCAAAAAUUAACUUAGCUGGUGAACACUUGCAGGUGAGAAGAAACCAAUUAACACUAAAUUCAAGAGUUAUAAUCAUUAACUCCCCACUGCACAUAUAGUUGAUGUCAUUUACAUAAUGAUUUUUUUAAAUAGUGAUUCUGGAGAUGAUCUAAAAAUAGCUCUAUACAGAAACUGUUGCAUAUAUUUGCUCAAAGGUGUACUUGAAUGAAUCCAGUUAUUUCUUUGUCCAAUAAAGAUGUGAAUUCUCUUAGGAAA